rnacentral:rRNA from 1 species
UACGAAGGGGGCUAGCGUUGCUCGGAAUCACUGGGCGUAAAGCGCACGUAGGCGGAUCUUCAAGUCAGGGGUGAAAUCCUGGAGCUCAACUCCAGAACUGCCUUUGAUACUGGGGAUCUCGAGUCCGGAAGAGGUGAGUGGAACUCCGAGUGUAGAGGUGAAAUUCGUAGAUAUUCGGAAGAACACCAGUGGCGAAGGCGGCUCACUGGUCCGGUACUGACGCUGAGGUGCGAAAGCGUGGGGAGCAAACAGG